rnacentral:rRNA from 1 species
UGAACCUGCGGAAGGAUCAUUACAGAGUUCAUGCCCGAAAGGGUAGACCUCCCACCCUUGUGUAUUAUUACUUUGUUGCUUUGGCGAGCUGCUCUUCGGGGCCUUGUAUGCUCGCCAGAGAAUAUCAAAACUCUUUUUAUUAAUGUCGUCUGAGUACUAUAUAAUAGUUAAAACUUUCAACAACGGAUCUCUUGGUUCUGGCAUCGAUGAAGAACGCAGCGAAAUGCGAUAAGUAAUGUGAAUUGCAGAAUUCAGUGAAUCAUCGAAUCUUUGAACGCACAUUGCGCCCCUUGGUAUUCCGGGGGGCAUGCCUGUUCGAGCGUCAUUUCAACCCUCAAGCUCAGCUUGGUAUUGAGUCCAUGUCAGUAAUGGCAGGCUCUAAAAUCAGUGGCGGCGCCGCUGGGUCCUGAACGUAGUAAUAUCUCUCGUUACAGGUUCUCGGUGUGCUUCUGCCAAAACCCAAAUUUUCUAUGGUUGACCUCGGAUCAGGUAGGGAUACCCGCUGAACUUAAGCAUAUCAAUAA